rnacentral:misc_RNA from 1 species
UUUUCCAUCAUUAAGCAUCACUCCUCUAUCUGUAUUUAUCCUGAGGAGGCUACACAUGUUGCUCUCUUCUGAUUUACAGUGAGCACAUUCCUUGCAUUCCCCUGUGAACACAGGGAGAACAUGGUCUCCUGGUUUGAGAUCUGUCACACACUCACCCACACUCUCGACAAUCCCUCCUGCCUCAUGACCAUAUAUUCUAGGGAAUAAAGGAUUUUGUCCCUUGGCUUCCCAGAAGUAGACAUCAGUAUGGCAUAAAGAAGUGAAGAGGAUCUUCACACGAACUUCAUUAGCCUGUGGAGGUGCCACCUCCACUUCUUCAAUC